AUCGCAUCUCUCUCUCUCUCUCUCUCUCUCUCUCUCUCUCUCUCUCUCUCUCUCUUCACUGUUUUUCUGUUCAUAGUUGUUAGAUCUCAUGUCUUUUCGAAUCUGAAUCUUUAAGAUGAUUUCCUCUCCUUUGACUAAACCUGUCCAGAUAGUUUCCAGCUUUCUAGACGUUUGUUGUUCGAUCUUCUCCAUAGCUUUGUGACAACAGAUUAUAGGGUUUGGUUUCUGUAUUUUCUUUCCUCAAUAAAAUAGUAUUUGUCAGCUCAUAAAUUUCUUGCUGCACAACAACUCUACAUAUCCUAUUCAUUAAGAGAAAACCCAUCUGCUUCUUUGUCUACCUCAUAAAUAAUCUCUCACUAUUGUUCUAUCGCUCUAGGUUCUCGCUUUAUCUUUUGUUCUCUUUUAUUAUAUAGAAACCCUUUUUGCUCCUUGAUUUGUACAACAGAAAGGCAAAGUUUAGAUCGUUAACCUUUUUGAUCAUGUGGGUUUGACAAAAGAGUUUCUUACAGAGUUCUUUGGCAUUCUGUCCACCUCCUUUCUGUAUAUAUUUAUGCGUAUAAGUGUUUGUAACUACGUUGUGUUUUGUGAGAGGAGGUGGGCAUACUGCCAAUAGAGAUCUGUUAGGGUUUCUUUGUAAAACCCCUCACGAUUUGAUGUAUUCGAGAAUCAAGAUAGUAAGUACACUGGCUCAUGGUAAUCAAGAUCUCUAAGAUCUGAGUUUGAAGAAAAAUGGUAUUAUCUCGAAUCCACUUAACCUAAUUAUGUGGGAUCGUUACUUCGUUUGUUCUAUUAAGUCAAUUUUACACAUUCCCGUCUCUUUGAUAUGAAUGACCUCUCAAAAGUUUUUUUUUAUCCUGCUUUCCUUGGUCGUUGAGACUUGAGACUCUAAUCUUUUGUUGGGGUUUGUAAGAUUUAUCACGUUCAUCACUAUAUUUGUGGAAACUCUACAUCUCUUAAAUUUUCAAUGGCGGUGACCGGCGUGAGAUUAAGUUGGGAGUAGUGGUGGCGUUGGAGACGUUUACAUCAUCCAGGAAAAGUUAUUCGUAGCAUUGAGAUUAUAAACCAAGAAGCUAGCUGUUUUCUAUGAAGGACAAGGUGACAACAUCAGUGAAAUGAUCCGAGUUAUAUACUUACAUGGUAUUUUAUUUCUGUAUUUUUUUAGAAAAUUAGAAUUUUAAAGCAGGCAAACUAACCUAUGAAUGUAUUCGUGUGGUAAUGACUUUACGUGACCGAGUAGACAUGUAUAAUGCAGGACGUCUUCGAUG